CUUGGGGACAGCGGGGUGCCACUGGGACCACCCCAAUUUACCAGCGAAGGGGGGAUUCGGGAUCCCGUGGGGCCACCCUGACUCUGGGAGGGGACGGGGGGGGGGGCGUGGGGAUCCCGGUGUCCCCGAUGUCCCCAAUGUCCCCAAAUGUCCCCGCAGGAGCGCGAGUACCGCGUGGUGGCCCCGCGGGCGCUGGGGCCGCUGCUGCUGGUGCGGGUGCACAAGGAGCCCUACGGGCGCCUGCCCCAGAGCUCCUGGUUCCUUGAGGGGCUCCGCGUGUGGCCCGAGGGGACGUGGGGGCAAGGGGGGGACCCCGAGGACCCCCGGGAUGAGGACCCGAAAGCUGGGGACGCUGGGGGCAAGAACCCGAAAAAUGAGGACGAGGACCCAAAAAGUGGGGACAAGAACCCAAAAGAUGGAGACAAGGACCCCAAAAAUGGGAAUGAGAACCCAAAAAAUGGGGGUGAAGACCCAAAAAAUGAGGAUAAGAACAUGAAGAAUGAGGACGAGGUCCCCAAAAAUGGGGACAAGAACCUGAAAGUUGGGGACAAGAAUCCAAAAGAUGGGGACGAGGGCCCAAAAAAUGAGGACGAGGCCUCCAAAAAUGGGAAUAAGAACCCAAAAAACGGGGACGAGGACCCAAAAGAUGGGGACACGGAGGACGAGGACACCGACGGUGACGAUGACACCGAGGACGACGACGACACCGAGGACGAGAUCGGUGACGCGAGUGACACCGACGAGGAGCUCGCUGACCCCGACGCCCCCUCCGACCCCGAAAACCUUGGGGCCGCCUGCGACCCUGACGACCCCUGUGACCCCGACGACCCCUACGAUGACCCCGAUGACCCCGGCGAUGACCUCGAGGCCGCCUACGCCGCGGGGGACAUUGGGGACACCGAGGAGGUGGCCCCGUGCUACUCCUUCCCCUGCUACCGCUGGCUGCGGGGUUUUGGCACCUGGGAGCUGCCUGAGGGCUCAGGCUGGCCCCCUUCGCCCCCGGCCUCCCCUGGGCGCUGCCCCUGGGCUCGGCGCCCGACCCCGACCUCGACUUCUCCCUGCCCAAGGCGGCCGCCUUCUACCUGCGGGCGGGGGCCGUGUGAGUGA
rnacentral:lncRNA from 1 species